rnacentral:rRNA from 1 species
AGGAUUCCCCUAGUAACUGCGAGUGAAGAGGGAUGAGCUCAAAUUUAAAAUCUGGCGGUCCUCGAGGCUGUCCGAAUUGUAAUUUAGAGAAGCGUCACCCGCGUUGGACCGUGUACAAGUCUCCUCGAACGGAGCAUCAUAGAGGGUGAGAAUCCCGUAUAUGACACGGACUACCAGGGCUUUGUGGUGCGCUCUCGACGAGUCGAGUUGUUUGGGAAUGCAGCUCAAAAUGGGUGGUAAAUUCCAUCUAAAGCUAAAUAUAGGCGAGAGACCGAUAGCGAACAAGUACCGUGAGGGAAAGAUGAAAAGAACUUUGGAAAGAGAGUUAAACAGUACGUGAAAUUGUUGAAAGGGAAACGCUUAAAGUCAGUCGCGUCUUUCAGAGAUCAACCUAGCCUUCCGCUUGGUGCACUCUUUGGAGGACGGGUCAGCAUCAAUUUUGACCGGGGGAAAAAGUUGGUGGGAAUGUGGCACUCUCGGGUGUGUUAUAGCCCAUUUGCAUAUACCUCGGUUGGGAUUGAGGAACUCAGCGCGCCGCAAGGCCGGACUUUUGUCACGUACGCGCUUAGGAUGCUGGCAUAAUGUCUUUAAUCGACCCGUCUUGAAACACGGACCAAGGAGUCUAACAUGCCCGCGAGUGUUUGGGUGUAAAACCCGAGCGCGUAAUGAAAGUGAAAGUUGAGACCUCUGUCGCGGAGGGCAUCGACGCCCGGAUCAGAUCUUUUGGGACGAUUCCGAGGUAGAGCGUGCACGUUGGGACCCGAAAGAUGGUGAACUAUGCCUGAAUAGGGUGAAGCCAGAGGAAACUCUGGUGGAGGCUCGUAGCGAUUCUGACGUGCAAAUCGAUCGUCGAAUUUGGGUAUAGGGG